rnacentral:rRNA from 1 species
UGCGUAGGCGGAAUGAUAAGUUAGUGGUGAAAGCCCCCGGCUCAACCGGGGAACUGCCAUUAAUACUGUCAUUCUUGAGUAUAGUUGAAGUGGGCGGAAUGUAUCAUGUAGCGGUGAAAUGCUUAGAUAUGAUACAGAACACCGAUAGCGUAGGCAGCUUGCUAAACUAUAACUGACGCUCAGGCACGAAAGCGUGGGGAGCAAACAGGAUUAGAUACCCGAGUAGUCC